UCGAACGAAGUAGCAAUACUUAGUGGCAGACGGGUGAGUAACAUGUGGGUAUCUACCCUUUGGCCUGGAAUAACACGAGGAAACUUGUGCUAAUACCGGAUAAGUCUUUACGGAGAAAGCUUUAUGCACCAUUGGAUGAGCCCGCACUUGAUUAGUUUGUUGGUAGGGUAAUGGCCUACCAAGACUAUGAUCAAUAGCUGGUUUGAGAGGAUGAUCAGCAACACUGGGACUGAGACACGGCCCAGACUCC
rnacentral:rRNA from 1 species